rnacentral:rRNA from 1 species
UACGUAGGGUGCAAGCGUUGUCCGGAAUUAUUGGGCGUAAAGAGCUCGUAGGCGGCUUGUCACGUCGACUGUGAAAACCCGGGGCUCAACUCCGGGCCUGCAGUGGGUACGGGCAGACUAGAGUGCGGUAGGGGAGACUGGAAUUCCUGGUGUAGCGGUGAAAUGCGCAGAUAUCAGGAGGAACACCUAUUGCGAAGGCAGCUCGCUGGGACGUAACUGACGCUGAGACGCGAAAGCGUGGGGAGCAAACAGG